GGUGUUGGGAGGAAGAGAAGGACGAGCUCUGACCUUAGCGGGUGUGGCAGCAGUGUGGACGAUGGCCUGAUGGGAGCACGCGCGCGGACAGAAUGUAAGAAAAACCCUCUUCACGGGUUUUCACCGCAGUCUACCGGAAGAAACGAGUUUUGCAUUGUGACGUCAGCACAUCGCACAUACGCAUCGAAUCAUUUUCUUUUCUAUUGCUGUGAUAAAACACCAUGAUCAAGGUACCUUCUAGAAGGAAGGGUUUGUUUACUCAGGCUUCCUGUUCCAGCGGGCUUAGAGCACAUUAUGGUAGUAGAUGGCGGCAUCAGACAGCUGACUGGCGACUCGGAAGGCGGAGAGCUCAAGUCUCAAAUUGCAAUAAGUACAGCCGAAAGUGUCUACCUGUAUUCUGCCUGAACCAAAUGAUGUCCGGAGGAAGCAACUUGAAUAUGAUGCAGUAAUGGUGUCUAAGAAAUGUAUUAUCUAUUCUUCUAAGUAUGCUUUUGAAAGAAAAA